GAUGAACGCUGGCGGCGUGCCUAAUACAUGCAAGUCGAGCGAACAGACGAGGAGCUUGCUCCUCUGACGUUAGCGGCGGACGGGUGAGUAACACGUGGAUAACCUACCUAUAAGACUGGGAUAACUUCGGGAAACCGGAGCUAAUACCGGAUAAUAUAUUGAACCGCAUGGUUCAAUAGUGAAAGACGGUUUUGCUGUCACUUAUAGAUGGAUCCGCGCCGCAUUAGCUAGUUGGUAAGGUAACGGCUUACCAAGGCAACGAGGCGUAGCCGACCUGAGAGGGUGAUCGGCCACACUGGAACUGAGACACGGACCAGACUCCUACGGGAGGCAGCAGUAGGGAAUCUUCCGCAAUGGGCGAAAGCCUGACGGAGCAACGCCGCGUGAGUGAUGAAGGUCUUCGGAUCGUAAAACUCUGUUAUUAGGGAAGAACAAAUGUGUAAGUAACUAUGCACGUCUUGACGGUACCUAAUCAGAAAGCCACGGCUAACUACGUG
rnacentral:rRNA from 1 species